rnacentral:precursor_RNA from 15 species
GCGCGAACUGGCCCUCAAGCUGCGCAGAAGGUGGGUAUCUGGAUGUGGUUGGCUCUGGCGGUCCUCUCACAUUUACAUAUUCACAGGCGCCGUGAGCUGCGUCACAAAUAUGGAAC